AAUCCAAAACAGCUCAGGUCAAACUGUGGACCAUGUUGUCAGAUAUGUGCAGAUGCAAGCCAGUGUUGAAGCCUUCCUCAUUGCCGUGCAACCAGGACAGCCCUUCCUCCUGCAUGUUGGUGAAAACAAGAGCAGCACCAAAGACACUUCACCAUCAGUGAUCACAAGAUCAUCCAAGGACUUGGUUUAUUACAGUCCCUGUGGCAAGCAGUUUUCUGCAUGGUCAGCAUUGAAGGCCAUAUUGUCUUUGAGAGGGUCCAGCCAACAUUCCAGACAGGACAGUGUUGUCCAUCUUCUUCAUCUUCAGCCUCCAAUGAGGCAGCCAAGACUUUGGUUCAUUCAACGGUAAAACCAUUCCUAUAAUUUUUUUUACAAUGAGCAAAAUACAAUGACAUGGUUUUAAAGCAAGUUAUG